AAAAAAAAAAAAAAAAAGAAAAUGAAAUUUGUAGGAUGAUAAAUUAUUUUUUAUUUUUUUAAAUAAUAAUUUAGCAAUCCUGGGGCGUUUCAUUCUCAUUGUGAGAAGAGGCGCACCUUGAGCAUACACGUUGGGACCCGAAAGAUGGUGAACUAUGCCUGGCGAGGACAAAGUCAGGGGAAACCCUGAUGGAGGUCCGUAGCGAUUCUGACGUGCAAAUCGAUCGUCGGAGCUGGGUAUAGGGGCGAAAGACUAAUCGAACCAUCUAGUAGCUGGUUCCCUCCGAAGUUUCCCUCAGGAUAGCUGGCAUUCGUAUUAAACGAGUCUCAUGCGGUAAAGCGAAUGAUUAGAGGCCUUGGGGCCGAAACGACCUCAACCUAUUCUCAAACUUUAAAUGGGUGAGAUCUCUGGCUUGCUUAAAUGAAGCCGUGAGUAUAUUGAAUAUAUAAAAUUCAGGAUCAGAAUGCCAAGUGGGCCACUUUUGGUAAGCAGAACUGGCGCUGUGGGAUGAACCAAACGUUAAGUUAAGGCGUCAAACACGACGCUCAUGGGAAACCAUGAAAGGCGUUGGUUGCUUAAGACAGCAGGACGGUGGCCAUGGAAGUCGGAAUCCGCUAAGGAGUGUGUAACAACUCACCUGCCGAAGCAACUAGCCCUGAAAAUGGAUGACGCUGAAGCGUCGGGCCUAUACUUAACCGUCAGUGACAUAAAUAAAUAUAAAAGAGAAUAUUUAAUAUAUUCUCUAUAUAUUUUUUCAAGUUUUGACGAGUAGGAGGGCGCGGCGGUGUGCGUAGAAGGGUCUGGGCGUAAGCCUGUCUGGAGCCGCCGUCGGUGCAGAUCUUGGUGGUAGUAGCAAAUACACAAGAGAGGCCCUUGUGGACCGAUGUGGAGAAGGGUUUCGUGUGAACAGCUGUUGCACACGAGUAAGUCGAUCCUAAGCCCUAAGAGAAAUCUGAUGUUAAUGUGUGGUAAGUUUAUUAUUAUUAUUAUUAAUAAUAUAAUAUUAUUUACCCCAUUUGGGCGAAAGGGAAUCCGGUUCCAAUUCCGGAACCUGGCGCGGAACCGUUACAAUGUCGGGCCCACUCUUUUUAUAAGAGUAAGCUCGUCGGGGUAACCCAAAAAGACCCGGAGACGCCGUCGGGAGAUACGGGCAGAGUUUUCUGUUCUGUAUGAGCGUUCGAGUUCCCUGGAAUCCUCUAGCAGUGAGAUAGGGUUUGGAACGCGUAGAGCACCGCAUUUGCUGCGGUGUCCGUAUCGUCCCCUCGGCCCUUGAAAAUCCGGGAGAGGGCCACGUGGAAGUCUCGCGCCGGUUCGUACCGAUAACCGCAGCUGGUCUCCAAGGUGUGAAGCCUCUUGUCGAUAGAAUAAUGUAGGUAAGGGAAGUCGGCAAAUUGGAUCCGUAACUUCGGAAUAAGGAUUGGCUCUGAGGGCCGGGGCGUGUCGGGCUUGGUUGGGAAGUGGGUAUGUGUCGGCGUGCCGGGCCUGGGCGUGAUGGUUUUUUAAACGGAACAAUCUCGCCCGGUCCCGUGCCUCGGCCUCCCGCGGAUCUUCCUUGCUUUAAAAUUAUUAAUCUGUUUUAUUUUUUUUUUAAGAGUAAAUACAGUUAAUUAUUUUGCGGCCGCCAUUUAACGGCCAAAUCAGAACUGGCACGGACUAGGGGAAUCCGACUGUCUAAUUAAAACAAAGCAUUGCGAUGGCCCUAGCGGGUGUUGACGCAAUGUGAUUUCUGCCCAGUGCUCUGAAUGUCAACGUGAAGAAAUUCAAAAAAGCGCGGGUAAACGGCGGGAGUAACUAUGACUCUCUUAAGGUAGCCAAAUGCCUCGUCAUCUAAUUAGUGACGCGCACGAAUGGAUUAACGAGAUUCCCACUGUCCCUAUCUACUAUCUAGCGAAACCACUGCCAAGGGAACGGGCUUGGAAAAAUUAGCGGGGAAAGAAGACCCUUUUGAGCUUGACUCUAGUCUGGCACUGUAAGGAGACAUGAGAGGUGUAGCAUAAGUGGGAGAUCUAUAUAAUUUUUUAAAUUAAAUAGAUUGUCUUUGAAAUACCACUACUUUCAUUGUUUCCCUACUUAUUCGGUAAGGCGGAGCGUGUACGUUAAUGAUCUUGUUGAUCUUAAUGUUACCAUAUUCUCGUGUCAAGAGUAUAACGCCGGUUUACUGUAAUAAUUAUUUCAAUUUUUUAAAUGGUAUAUGAUAGAGAAGUCAAAUUCUUUGGAUUGUAUUAUUUUUUUUAUUGAAUAAUUAUUCUUCCGGUUUUUUUGUUAGGCUCGAUCCGAUCCGGAGACACUGUCAGGCCGGGAGUUUGACUGGGGCGGUACAUCUGUCAAAA
rnacentral:rRNA from 1 species